UCAGAUCAGACAAUGGAACUAAUUAAAGAACCACCUGUAGCACUUUUCUAGACACCAAUUGAUCAAUUGAUCAAGAACUGGUUAACUCCUAGUUGCAUAUCACUACAACUUAAUAUAAUUUUUAAUGAAGAUUUUUAUUUGAUCUCAUGCACAUUCUAACUAUAUAAUGCUAAUUUAUACUAAUAUAUAUUAGCAUUAAAAUACUCUAUAUGUGCAAGUGUAAUAUAUAGACUUUCAUC
rnacentral:lncRNA from 1 species